UCCGACUGUCCCCACAGUUGAUGAAUUAUUCUCUCGAUUACUUCGCCUUGCUAUAGCACCGAGUCACCCAGUGAGCUCAUCACAGACACUUGAUUCAUCUUUCCUCAUAUCCCAAUCAGUGGACAAUCGGGCAUCUCAUACUAUGGAGAAUAGACGAGGAGGAGGUCGUUUUGGAAGAUCUAGACCCAAGCGUUCUUAUUGUCAUAAAC
rnacentral:lncRNA from 1 species